GCCUCGGUAGCGCAGUAGGCAGCGCGUCAGUCUCAUAAUCUGAAGGUCGUGAGUUCGAUCCUCACCCGGGCAAGGCG
rnacentral:tRNA from 1 species